rnacentral:rRNA from 1 species
GACGAACCGUGCGAACGUUGUUCGGAAUCACUGGGCUUAAAGGGCGCGUAGGCGGCCGGGUUGGUCGUGGGGUGAAAAUCCCCCCAGCUUAACUGGGGAACUGGCCUACCGAUACUGCCUGGCUCGAGGGAGGAAGGGCGGUCGGAAGCGUGUCGGUGGAGCGGUGAAAUGCGUUGAUAUCGACAGGAACGCCGGUGGUCGAA